CAGGUACUUCACUGAAAUGUAACUACCACAAUGCAUCCUUUCCAUGUGACUAACUUCGCUCAUGGACCAGAAUCACCGUGGCUCUGCCCUGGAGUGGUGCAAAGAGCUCGCAUUCUGUUUGGAAAGGAAAUUAUCUAAAUCCAGUAGAGGCCUCUCAAAUGUGGUUGGAAAAUCUAAGAAGACUUCCCAGAGGCAGCAGCACUAGUGUCAGGGAAAGACUCACAAAUUCCAUUGCUGUAGAACCCAUGUGUUGAAGACCACUACACUGGAAUCUAGUUUCCUAUCCUAAAAUCUACUUCCUGAGUUUGAGUAAGACUUGAACUAGUUUGCAAAUAUCUGUGAUCUUCACCUUGCCUGCCUGCAAAGCCCAUAGGCAAAUUCAGAAGAGACUUCUACUUGUCCAAAGCAACAUGGAGUAAAGUGGGUCAGCUAGAAUUAAAAUAUGCUCCAGCCAAAGGCGACCAUGGGAACCUAUUGAUAAGGCUCUGGGGUCAGAUUCAUCUCUGUUCAGACAACUCUAGCGGUGUGACUCUAAGUAAGUGUUUUUUAACCUAAGUUCUUGCUUCCUCAACUGCAAAUGUAGGAAUGGUAACAUCUUCCUCAAAGUUGUAUGCUGAGGAUAACACAUGAAAGAGAUGCCUGGGCCAUAUAAUUAUUUAAGAAAUGUUCAUUUCUUUCUUGAACUACCACCUACCAACUAUUUGGUCUGAGUUUAUGAAACUGUAAAUUUUGUCUAACAUUUGCCUAACAAAGCAUUAUUACCUUGCUUAAAGAAACACACAGUACCCUCUAAACCAAAAA